rnacentral:siRNA from 1 species
ACAGACUUCGUGGUGCUGGAUA